GCCUUGCUGGCUCAAUCGGUAGAGCGUGAGACUGAGGGGCUGCAUCGACCCAGGCUGCGGGUUCGACGCCCGCGUGGGGAU